AGUGAACGCUGGCGGUAGGCCUAACACAUGCAAGUCGAACGGCAGCACAGUAAGAGCUUGCUCUUACGGGUGGCGAGUGGCGGACGGGUGAGGAAUCCAUCGGACUCUACUUUUUCGUGGGGGAUAACGUAGGGAAACUUACGCUAAUACCGCAUACGACCUACGGGUGAAAGCAGGGGAUCUUCGGACCUUGCGCGAUUGAAUGAGCCGAUGUCGGAUUAGCUAGUUGGCGGGGUAAAGGCCCACCAAGGCGACGAUCCGUAGCUGGUCUGAGAGGAUGAUCAGCCACACUGGAACUGAGACACGGUCCAGACUCCUACGGGAGGCAGCAGUGGGGAAUAUUGGACAAUGGGCGCAAGCCUGAUCCAGCCAUACCGCGUGGAUGAAGAAGGCCUUCGGGUUGUAAAGCCCUUUUGUUGGGAAAGAAAAGCAGCAGGUUAAUACCCCGCUGUUCUGACGGUACCCAAAGAAGAAGCACCGGCUAACUUCGUG
rnacentral:rRNA from 1 species